UUGAUUAUAACUAGGAAAAUCUCUGAGGCAUAUGGUAAAUCAACAACAAAGUAAACCACUUUUUAAUUGAGUAUUCAUUAUUUGCAGGUAUUCUGCAAGACACAUUUACCAAUUAAGGUGAUAAAAUCAUCCAGCUCCCAAAGAAAAGUUCAAAAUAGGAAGAUCUCAAGUUCUAUAAAACAGCCUAGUCUCACCCACUCCUGUUAACAGUUUCAUGCCAGGCCCAAAAGAAAAACAGAACCAUACAUGCCAGCUGCCCUCCAUUUCAAAGUAUCUUGCUAAAUCAUCUAUGUAGGACUGCGAAAACCAAUCCAGGAAGUUGCAAGAGCAGCCUUGUGGGCCAAGUGAUGCCAAGAAGGAUCAGAACAAGGAUGUGUGGAGGAGUGGAACGCAAACUGCCAAAUAAAUCUAGCUGUAUUACAGAUGAAUCACAUGAUCACACUAAAGGACAUGAGGAAGAAAGGAGCUGACUUAAGUAACUUUGGCGCAGUGGCCAGAGCUCCAGCAACCAUCUUGGACAAUGAAAAAACCUUCACAAUGAUAGCCAUGGCGAAACACAGUGGAGUAGGAAGAUAAAAGAGACUGAGAACCGGAUAACCACGGAGUUCCAUACCAGCUCUCCUGAUACCUUUCAUAAAAGAGUGAAAUGAGCAUCUACCUUUUUGUUUUGCUUCAUUAUUAUUUGGCUGGGUUUUCUUUUAAGUUACCAAUAGUCUAUUUUUACUUGUACUUUAGCUGCUUUUAUGUAUUAAUAUACCAUUGAAUGCAUGUAAAUCUUCAUAUAAGUCAUAAACUAUGUAAGAUUAGAUAACACAGUAGACCCCACCCCAAUUUACAGGAGCUAUUUUACAAGACCCUCUAUGGAUGCCUGAAACUGUACAUAGUACCAAACCCUAUAUAUACUAUGUCUCUUCCUAUACAUACAUACUUAUGAUAAAGUUUAAUUUAUAAAUUAGGCACAGUACUCUUGUGCUUUAGGGCCAUUAUUAAGUAAAGUAAGAGUUACUUGAGCACAGGGAUACAAUACUGCAACAAUUGAUCUGAUAACCAAGAUAGCUACUAAGUGAUAAUGGACAAUGCCAGACAAAGGGAAGUUAAGCCUCAGGAGGGACAGCAUGGGCCAUUGCAAGAUUUCAUCAUGCUGCUUAGAAUGAUGCACAAUUUAAGAUGUAUGCAUUGUUUACUUCUAGAAUUUUCCAUUUAAUAUUUUCAGACCACAGUUAACUUGGGUAACUGAAACUGUGGAAAACAAAACUGUGCCUAAGGGGGGACUACUGUGUUAUUUAAAGCUUUAAACUUUAAUUUCAAAAAAUAUACAACAUUUUAAGAAAAUAUAGUUCAGUGCAUAUACCACAUUGAUUUUAAUUAGUUGAUCUUUUAUAUACAUGUUUAUCUAUGCAAGAAUAUGUGUAAGAAGUGUAUGGAAGUUCAGUUGUUUUCUGAUUUUAUGACUUCUGAUAAGCUUAGGAAUUCCUUAGAUAAAUAGGAAUUAUUUACUAAUUAUUUUUAAGGUCGUGCAGUCAAAUAAAAUUCACAGAAAUGAAUCUCAAGUUGAUAUUAGAGAAAAAUGCAAUCAUUGUUAAUAUUAAAAAUUCCUCAGUAAAAGAAAUAUAUUUUAAGAUUUUAUGUAUACACAAAUUAUUGUUUUUAUUUGAGCCAAACUUAAUUGAUACACUCGUGUGCCCCUCAACCUCUAAAAUCUUUUUUCAUCUUUUUCCUCUAACAAAACUCCUCUCUUAAAGGUCUUUAGUUAACUCAAGUUGCCAAAUUCAAUAUUUAAAUGCUAAAUCCAAGAGCCUCAUGUCAUUUCUCCUCUACUUUUGAUCACACAAACCAUUCUUCUUUUUUUUUCCUUCAUUGUUCACUCCUGGGUUUUCUCUUACUUCUCAGAUCAGUCUCUUUCAUUUUCAUUAACUCUUUUCUUCUAGCUCCCUGUUAAGUAUUAGCUUCCUAUAGUCUAUGUCCAAGCCCAAGCAUUUCUUCUUACUGUAUAUCUCAUACAAUGCCUAAACUUAACUUCCUAUGAUGACAAUGCUUCCAAAACUUACAUCUUAAUCUGGAUAUUUUGCUUGAGUUCCACAUUCAUGUUUCAUAGUUCUUGUGGCCCCACAAAUAUAUCCUGUCAACAAAUUUAGAUGGGCGUAAAAGUCACUAUCAUUCCCUGAGAGUCUGUCACAUUUUAGACUCUGCUCUGCUCCAUGACUUGGGCAGGGAGGAGCAGUCCUACUGAAAACAGCCCACAAUAUCCUCACCCAAGAGGAAAUGACAAAGAUAAAAACCUUGUGCCUCUGAGUGAAAGCUCUCUGUUUCAAGUAAGGAAAGUCCAAAUCUACCUGGUUUAAGUGAAUAAGGAAACACACUGGCUCAUAUACCUGUAAAUUUCUGGAAUAAACUAGGGGCAGUAUGGUUUGACCCAGUAGUUUAAUCAUUGUCUUCAGGAAUACUAAUUUUUCCUCUCUACUUCUUGGUUUUGUUUUGCACUUUGCUGGCUUCUUUCUCAAUUAUAUUCAUCUCAGUGGUAACGAAGAUGGGCAAUAACAUCUAUAAGCUUAUAUUUAACGAAUUUAAAAUUUUUAGUGGGAAGAAAUUUCUUCCCCAAUAAUUCAAGCAAAACUCAAGGAAUCAUUCUCGUUGGCUUGGGCUAGGUCACCGUCCCCUAAGUGAUCAUUAAAACUUUCACUACCUCCCUUCCACCCAAAUAAGUGGGCCCACUGACCUGGACCUCUUGAUAUUGUGAUAUAAUAAGAAACAUAUAGUUGGGCUUCAUCCAUAGUUCCUGGCACAAAGCUUCUAAAACCCUUGUAUUUUGUUAUAAUAUUUGGUCUUUAUGCCCAAUUCUGGACACAGAGCUUCUAAAACCCUUGGAAGUUCCUGAGAGAUAGGGGUCAGAGGACCAUCUUUUGUUAUUCAUAAUAAGCCUCUUUCAACCAUACCUGAGUUUCUACUAAUAAGAUGACUUUUGAUGGACUUCCAGAUAGCUUCAGCAUGAGAGCUUGUUGCUACAGGAAUCAACCAUUGAUUAGAAGGUUGAAACUUUCAGCCCCAUCCCCCAGCCUUUGGGGAGAUAAGAGGGGCUGGAAAUUGAGUUAAUUAUCAAUGAUCAAUGAUCUACUCAGUCAUGCCUACAUAACGGACAUUGCAUAAAAACCCUAAACAGUGGAGUCCGUGGUGUGACUGAGCCCUUAAAUUGUGGGAGCUGAUCCUAAUUCCAGGUAGUUAGCAUCACAAUUGAAUUAAAUUGUAGGACACUCAAUGGUGUCCUACAGUUGGAGAAUUGGUUGUUGGUUUGAGGAAAACCCCCAUACUUUUGGUAUGAGAAGAAGUGUUCUGUGGGUAGAAAGAGAUCCUAGUAGCCCACACCUAUUUUCCUUUCUCUGCCCUGCAAUUCUGCCACUUCAGAGUGCCUUUUUAAAAUUUUUACAGUCGCACCCUGGUGGCUGGAAUCAGCCAGAGUCUGCAGUGUUAUCCAGGCAGGAGCCCAUAGUAGAACUUGAGUGGGUCAGAUUCCCAUUGCUCCCCUUGGGUGUACUCACUGACUCUCUAGCCCAUUCAUUGUGGUAAACCAGAUGCCUGCAGAGUUCCAACAAUCACACCUGUAGGGUUAUCCUGGGACCUGGAGCCAGCUUCUGGAGCCCACGAGGGUGACCUGAUUCUAAGAUGGUGGCCUGGUGAGCAGAUUAUACCCACUGGCUAGUACAGUAAUUCUUUUGUGGUAUCAUGUAAAAUUUUAUCCUCAGAAUGGUUCAGAAAUACUGAUUUUGGGUGACUCUUACACAUGUUGACACAGAGCCUUUUUACCUUGACAUAUAAGUCUCUCACACGGCAUUCUGUAUUUUCCAUACUUUUUUCACUCUGAGCUUUCUGUCAUAUAGUUUUUAGUAGUCUAUCUUCCAAUUCUCUAAUCUUUUCUCCUACUCUGUCCAAUCUGCUGAAGACCCAACUAUUGAGUUAUUAAUUUUAGUUAUUUUGAUUUUCUUUUCUAGAAUUUAUGUGUGAUUUUUUCUAUAGAUUCUAGUUUUUUAGUGAAAUUCUCUAUCUUGCUAUUUUCUCAAAUGUAUUAAUAACAGUUAUUUAAAAUCUGUGCUUGAUAACUCCAAUAUAUAAAUUUGAUAUAUUUGAUAUAUUUCUGGUGAAUUCUUUCUCUUGCUUUCAGUGACUUGGUCUUGUUUUCUGACACAUUCAAUAAUUUUUGAUUAAAUGAGAGACAUUGUGUAUUAAAAAAUAAAAACAAAAACAAAAAACAAAGU